rnacentral:lncRNA from 1 species
CCACUUAUUAAGAAUAGUUUGUAGGUUCGUUGUCAUUAUUGUGAAUUUUCAUGUCUUAUAUUUGUUGCUUCUGCAGGUGUUAUAUCAAGGUAUCACCAUGGCGAGAUCCCCUUUGCUGCUAACCAGGAAGUUGAGAAUCAUGAAGUGAGAGCACUCUGAAGUUUGAUGUGCACUUGACGCUGGACUUCCCCUGUUGAGUUCGAAUUUGAUUCUGCUAAUUCUGAUGUAGUGCCAGCAUGUAGAAGCUACAACAUCUAUGCUGAUGUUCGUAAAUUUCCUUCUUGGUUUAUCUUCAAGUUCCUGCAAAUUGGUAUAGGGUGCAGUGCGCUGGCUCAUGGCCUUGCUGCCCAGGCGCAUCAGAUUAGUAUUAGUAAUCUAUGGAUGGGAAAUGUCCCUCCAUUGUUGAGUUGGCUUGUAAUGACACUAUAACUCUGAUUCCGUAUGACCAUUAAAAAAAACUGAUCUGUGCCCACUUACGUUGACGGAAUGUUUCUUGUGUAUGUUAAAACUGAAAAAUGUCUGUUUCAUGCAUAUAGUUGUGAAGCCCAAUGGCUAUCAUAAAAAAUGAUAUGUGCUCACUUAUGUUGCUGGAUUUAUGUUAUAUGCUACAACUGAGAAAAGAAUGGUAAAUCUAUAGAUAGUACUGUAUAUGCUUCCUGGGUACUAUUUACAUGAAUACAACCAUAUUAGAACACCAUGCUGCAGUACACGACAUGUACAUGGUUAUACCAAAACAUCCCUGUAGACAAUAUUUUUGUACUUUUCCCUGAGAUGGGUCAAUAUCCUUAUUUGGCCUUGCAAGUAUUCUAGUUUUUUGUCUUGAUAUCCCUCUAGACAAAGCAACAUUGUGCACGGAAUGUACUAUCAGUAGUGUCUGUUGUCUAUAUAUACAGAACUUUCCAAUAAAAGCAUAUAUAUUUGGUGAAUUUCUGAGCACUAUAAAAUAAAUAAAUAUUAUAAUUUGAAAUUAUGGGCUUUGACACAGCAAUUUUCAACUUUUGUUAGUAAUAUCUAUACAAUGCCACUAUGAGAGAUUACAAAAGAAAUGUCCUGUUCCUGCAGCCUUAUAAGCAAACAAAUUCACUAUAGUUGAAGAGAAAUAAUAGUACGAUUGGCCCUCAAAGUUCCAGUCUGAAAUCCAUCGGCUGCAAACCAUCUAGCCUUAAGCCAACAAUAAAAAAAAU